rnacentral:rRNA from 1 species
CAGCAGUAGCCGCGGUAAUACGGAGGGUGCGAGCGUUAAUCGGAAUUACUGGGCGUAAAGCGUACGCAGGCGGUCUGUUAAGUCUGCUGUGAAAUCCCCGGGCUCAACCUGGGAAUGGCAGUGGAUACUGGCAAGCUAGAGUGUGUCAGAGGAUGGUGGAAUUCCCGGUGUAGCGGUGAAAUGCGUAGAGAUCGGGAGGAACAUCAGUGGCGAAGGCGGCCAUCUGGGACAACACUGACGCUGAGGCACGAAAGCGUGGGGAGCAAACAGGAUUAGAUACCCCGGUAGUCCCUGUCUCUUAUAC